rnacentral:rRNA from 1 species
AACGAACGCUGGCGGCGUGGAUAAGACAUGCAAGUCGAACGGGACAUUUUUAGUAGUAAUAUUAGAGAUGUUCAGUGGCGAACGGGUGCGUAACACGUGGAUACAUUCCGGAAAGCGGGGGAUAGCCCAGGGAAACUUGGAUCAAUACCGCAUGUGGUCGCAAGACUAAAGACGGGGAUCGAAAGACCUGUCACUUUCCGAUUGGUCCGCGGCCUAUCAGCUAGUUAGCGGGGUAAAAGCCCACCAAGGCGACGACGGGUAGCUGGUCUUAGAGGACGACCAGCCACACUGGAACUGAGACACGGUCCAGACACCUACGGGUGGCAGCAGUCGAGAAUCUUUCACAAUGGGGGCAACCCUGAUGGAGCGACGCCGCGUGGAGGAUAAGGUCUUCGGAUUGUAAACUCCUGUCAUGCGAGAACAAGGUUGCAGGGCUAAUACCCGUGCAAAUUGAUGGUACCGCAAGAGGAAGAGACGGCUAACUCUGUGCCAGCAGCCGCCGCCG